UAUUCCACGCACUGCGCCCUGACUCCGCAUACAACGCUCAUUCCUCUCUUUGGCUCGUGAAGUCGUGAUGAAACCUUCCUUGUCUCUCCCUCUCUCGAUCUACGCCGCCGGCUCCCUUCCCUCGAUCUGCACCUGGCUCUUCCACUGCGGCACAGCAAGGGAGGAAGAUGGGAUUGGCGGGCGAGGGCCUGCGGGGCGGCGAAGAGGGGAUACUCCGGCGGGCUACCAGCGGCGGCAGAGGCUUAGCGCCUGCUUAUUCUCCUGAAGGAUCAUCGCCAACUCACUGCUGCUCAUAGAGACUUCCAAGGACAGUUACAACAAUUCUGGAGCAUGUAUCGUCCUCAAUCCUCCUGAUUUUGCUACCGUCAUUUCCAUAGUAUUCAAGAUGUAAAACCUCGACCCGUGGUAUGAUUAAUAUUGGGUUCCUAAGCUUGAAAUGUUUAUGGCAUGAAUAGUACUUGAUUCUAUCAUGUUUAUGUAGUAUCAAUUAUUUUUGCUGGAAGACUACCAUGAGGCGUAACUGUAACACCCCGGAUGUAACUUUCCAUAUUUGUAACUUCAACUCUUGCCAUUUUUGGCUAUGUGUUAUGAUAUUCCCUCUGUAGUUGGGUUUUGUC